GGCUGGUUAGCUCAGUCGGAAGAGCACUGGACCGAUAAAUCCAGGGGUCGCUGGUUCAAAUCCGGCAUCGGCCA